rnacentral:rRNA from 2 species
AAGGAUCAUUAACGAGUUUUAAUUGGUUUUUGUAAAAAGAUCAAAACUCCCACCCUAUGUGUAUUUUGGAGACUAUUGCUUUGGCAGGACAGUUUAGUGAUAAACUGAUCAGACUGAUUUUAAAUCAACUGGUUUUGUUGCCUGCCAGAGUACCAAACAAACUCUGUUUUAACCUAAAGUCUGAGAAAUUAUUUUGAAAAUAAAUCAAAACUUUCAACAACGGAUCUCUUGGUUCUGGCAUCGAUGAAGAACGCAGCGAAAUGCGAUAAGUAAUGUGAAUUGCAGAAUUCAGCGAAUCAUCGAAUCUUUGAACGCACAUUGCGCCUCUUGGUAUUCCUUGAGGCAUGCCUGUUCGAGCGUCGUUUUGACCAUAAGGCUUUGCCUUGCGAUGAGAAUUUUGGAUUUUGUUGAAAAAAGGCAAAACCAAAUUUUCCAAACUGAUUGGCGUCUGAUUAUUUGGCCAAAAACACAGCGAUAUGUGUUGAUAACCCCAAAAAACAAGACUGCUUAAACCAAAAUUAUAAAACUGGUCGACCUCGAAUCAAGCAAGACUACCCACUGAACUUAA